AGUACCAAAGACCAUUGUUUCUAAUCGGGAUGUCAAGUUCCUAAGCCAUUUCUGGAAGACAUUAUGGAGCAAAUUUGACACAACCUUGAAUGAAAUAUAGCACAACAUCACACCCUCAAACAGAUGGCCAAACAGAAGUUACAAAUAGAACUGUCGACAACUUAAUAUGCUGUCUUAGUGGAUCCAAACCAAAACAGUGGGACUUAGCUCUUGCACAGUCAGAAUUCGCCUUCAACAAUAUGAAGAAUAGAUCAACCGGCAAAUGUCCAUUUGAGGUCGUAUACACAAAACAGCCAAGACUAACAACCUUUGACCUAGCAUCACUCCCCACAACUAUUGACACUAGCUCAGAAGCAGAAAAGAUGGUAGAAAAGAUUCAGAAUUUACACGAAGAAGUCCAUAACCACCUAAAAGAAUCAACUCAGUCCUACAAAAAGGCAGCAGACAAAAAGAGAAGACAAGCUACCUUUACUGAGGGAGACUUAGUAAUGAUUCACCUCAGAAAAAUUUGAUUUCCAACUGGAACACAAACUGAAAGACAGACAAUUAGGACCAUUUCGUGUCCUAGAAAAGAUUUGAGAUAACGCUUACAGAAUUGAACUACCACCAGACUUGCACAUUCAUCCUAUUUUUAACGUGGCAGACCUGAAACAGUACUAUGCCCCAGAUGAUUUCUGCCUUGUCAACUAAGUCACUCGGGUCGAGUUCCAUGCUAGGGGUGGAAUGAUGUAAUAUAGAAUGCCAUGGCUAAACAGCUGUAGUUAGUUAGUAAAACAGUUUAAAUAAUUAAACUGUUUAGCUGUUAAGACUGCAAUUAAAACUGUUUCAUAAAAACUGUUAUUUCAACUACUUGUAACUACUUACAAUCCUCAAUAUAUACUCCAUCUCUUAGCCACUAUUGGUGGAGAAUUCAUUGUGAAAAACUAAGUCCAACUUGAAUUACAUCAGUUUAUUAAGUCUGUUGAUUUGUGGAUGAACUAAAACAUAUACAUCUUUUCUAAAAAGGAUAAAAAAAACUUGCAUAAGUUUUCAUUUUCACAACUCUAUGAUUUGUGAUCAAUGCAGCAAGGAGCAGCUGGCAAACAAAUUUCUUUAUGCCAUAAAUGCGGAUGCUGGUUUUGAUCUAAGCUAAUGGUAGAUUCCCAAACUUUGAAGAAACAUUGCAGUACUGAGGUAAAUGAACGUUGUAUGACAGAGCAUCGGGCUUACCGAAGCCAAGGUAUCUUCUUCGAUAACAAGGUUCAUAAUUGCAUUACUUGUGCUACAAGCACUCGUAAACACACCCCUUGUGCUUUGGCUAUUGUUUGAGAUUCUGCACAUUUCAGAUGUUGAGGUACGAGAGACCAAGAUGAUGGGAAGCACUCCCAUUAUCAUUGUAGCUUUCCAAACGCAACAGGUUUACUGUGUACGUGAUGCAAAUGGAUCAAUUAGAGAAGGCGGUAAGAGCAGAAGACAUGCAUCAAAAACCAAGGAGAGAGUAAAGAUCGUGCAAAACUAUAAGCAAGAAGAGGAAAAGGGAGCAUGCGAUCUUUUUAUAUUUUCUCUUCUAUAUGGUACUAUUUAAGAAAAGAUAAAUUCAAGAGAUAAGAAUAUGUAAAACUUUUAUUAUAUAUGUGUGUAUGGCUGCUAUUAUUGUAAAAAUAAAAAUAUGCUUUCAAUUGUUUAACUAACAAAAGUUUCAGCAAGGUUCAACUAAAGUUCCUACACCGUGCCAAGAACCCCCAACAACAGCGCCAUUUGCUUUAUCAUUCUCGGAGAAUCAUUCUCCUGCCCCAAAUACACUCCAUGUCUUUUUUUAUUUUGAUGAUCAACGACUACUUUUUUAUUUUUAUUAUCGGUAAAAUGGUAAAAAGAAAAUGAAGUUUAACCCCUUCCCCCCUACCGUUUUGUGAAGGAGGGUUGCUGUUCAGAAUGAGCGACAGUAAUAUGCAAUAUGUAACAUCUACUUCAUACCUUCUGUUAACUUACACCAAAUACUUGAUCUCCACCAAUAUGGUUGCUAACUAUGGGGACACCAC